GUUUCAAAAUUACAAAAUUUAAAACAACAUGCAGAUUUGUAUAGUCUUGGCUUUAUUUUUUAUGUUAGCCACGCCCAUUGUAGCGGAUGUAUAUCGCAGUAACACUAUGCAGACGCACUGGAGGUUCGCUCCACUGCUAUGACAGCAGCACCUGGGGAUACGAUGAACGUACAAGAAAAUGUUAUAACGUGAAGAAGGGCUCUGAACCAUGUGGCUUCUUUGAUGGGGAAAAGGGCUGCAUAGACUUUUGUGUUAAGGGUCGCAAGGGCUAAAAAUUAAACUAAAUAUAUAAGCGAAAAGCAAUAAUUGUUUGUUUAAACAUUACAAAGCCAUACAAAAUGACAAAACAAGUUGUAAGCCGCUUAAGCCUAAGUUAUGAUAUUUCUAGAAUUAAGCAAUAAAAGUUACAGAAAUGUUAACACACAUAAUACGCUGAUAAUGUUGAAAAUAAAUAUCAAGCGCAGCGAAUUAAAACAAACGAAGCUGACAUAUAUAAAUUGCAUUAGCUGCUGCUAGAGCCGCCUGAAAAUGAAGCUUUGCUUGCUAUUUUUACUCUGCUUAGCCGUGGGCGUUAAGCUGGACGGCCCUGAUGAAGCUAAAAAGACCUUGGCUGCUUCAUGCGCUGAGCGCAGAACAACUUCAGGCUUAUGCGAAAAGGACGAGACAUAUAAAUUUAAUAUUAAUACUAAAAAGUGCUAUAGAGUCAAUGGCGAUAAGGAUACCUGUGGAUUCUUUAUGUUCAAACAAGUGUGUGAGGAUGUAUGUAACGCAAUUUAUGAUAAAGUUGUGAAAAUGGAUAAACGUUUGCAUCCAAUAAAUAAAGAUGAUGAGGCAAC